rnacentral:lncRNA from 1 species
AUGGCCGCAGCCCUCACCUCCGCCCUCCACGCCCGUUCUGACCCGCAGGCUGUGCCGUGGCCCGUGCCACUGUUGCCCAGUGCCGGCCAACCUCGGCACCUGCCAGUCCCAGGAAUCCCACAGCAGGUGGGAGAUAAUGGUGGGUGCAGGAGACCACAGAGCGGGGGCUGGGAGGACACUGGGAGGAGCUGGGGGUGGGUGUUGGUUGUUGGCGGCGGUGGGGUGUGUGUGUGUGUGUGUGGAGGGAGUGGGGGUUCUCAGCCCCUUGCAUUCAAUGAACCUUGGACCCCCACUCCCUGCCCCGAGGGGCUUCCAUUCCUGCCCAAGGUUCCCCAGGUCCCCCUGCCCAGGAAGCAGGAGCCGCAGUGCCAGGCAUUGUCCCAGCCUCAGGAAGCCCACCUGGUGGGCGGGAGGAACUUAACCUCAGUCUGUGUCACCUGCCCCUCGUGUCAGUGUCCCACCUCCUCCUCAGCUUCCGGCCGGUCUCCUCUCCUGGCUGUCAGUCCCCUCCGUCUUCAUGGCUGCUCCCUCUCUGGCCAAGCGGGUCCCCUCCGUGGCGCACACAGACAAGGCAGCCAGCCUCCCCAAAGACCCGGUGCCUGUCACCAUCCCGGCUCCCAAGUGUCCCCUUUCCUGGUCUUCUCCACGAUGAGCUGCCCUGCUGAGAAGGUUCCCGCUGCCGGCUGUGAGGCCAGCACGCACUUCCUUCUCCCAGAAAGCCCAGCGUCGAAGCGGGGAGUCAGGCGAGAAGGGAGGAGCAAGCUCGCGCACACGUUUCCCACAAGCCUCUGGGGAAGCAGGGCGCUUGCCAGUGGUGGACUUCAGACGUCAAAAGGUAGAGGCUGGGGCAGGCUUGUAGCUUGGUGUCGGGACGCCUGCACCCCUACCCGAGUACCUGCGUCUGGUCCUGGGCUCCCGCUCCUGCCAGUGCAGAUCCCAGGGGGCAGCAGUGAUGGCUCAAUGUCGGGGUCCCCGCCGCCCACGUGGGAGACCUGGAUUGCGUUCUUGGCUUCUGGCUUUGGUCCUGGUCCAGCCCCAGCCAUUGUGGGGCAUUUGGGAAAUGGACCAGCAGAUGGAAGAUCUGUCUGUCUGCCUCUGCAAUAA